rnacentral:snRNA from 1 species
AAAUCGCUUGAACCCAGGAGGUGGAGGUUGCAGUGAUCCGAGAUUACACCACUGCACUCCAGCCUGGGCGACAGAG